UACGUAGGUGGCAAGCGUUGUCCGGAUUUACUGGGCGUAAAGGGAGCGUAGGUGGAUAUUUAAGUGGGAUGUGAAAUCCCCGGGCUUAACCUGGGGGCUGCAUUCCAAACUGGAUGUCUAGAGUGCAGGAGAGGAGAGUGGAAUUCCUAGUGUAGCGGUGAAAUGCGUAGAGAUUAGGAAGAACACCAGUGGCGAAGGCGACUCUCUGGACUGUAACUGACACUGAGGCUCGAAAGCGUGGGGAGCAAAC
rnacentral:rRNA from 1 species